rnacentral:rRNA from 1 species
GAUGAACGCUAGCGGCAGGCCUAACACAUGCAAGUCGAGGGGCAGCGCAAAGUAAACUUGUUUAUUUGGCGGCGACCGGCGCACGGGUGCGUAACGCGUAUGCAACCUGCCUUGUACAGAGGGAUAGCCCGGAGAAAUUCGGAUUAAUACCUCAUAGCAUUAUAGAUUGGCAUCAAUUUAUACUUAAAGCUUUGGCGGUACAAGAUGGGCAUGCGUCCUAGUAGCUAGUUGGUGAGGUACGGCUCACCAAGGCGACGAUAGGUAGGGGGCCUGAGAGGGUGGUCCCCCACACUGGUACUGGGACACGGACCAGACUCCUACGGGAGGCAGCAGUGAGGAAUAUUGGUCAAUGGGCGCAAGCCUGAACCAGCCAUGCCGCGUGAAGGAUGAAGGUUCUAUGGAUUGUAAACUUCUUUUAUUUGGGAAUAAACCUCUUUACGUGUAGAGAGCUGAAGGUACCAAAUGAAUAAGCACCGGCUAACUCCGUGCCAGCCGCCGCGGUAAGAC